GAAUGAACGCUGGCGGCGUGCUUUACACAUGCAAGUCGAGCGAGGCGGGGUAGCAAUACCCCAGUCGAGCGGCGAACGGGUGAGUAACACGUGGAUAACCUACCCAGAGGUGGGGGAUAACCCGGGGAAACUCGGGCUAAUACCGCAUAACACCGAGAGGUCAAAGGCGGGUCGCAAGACCUGUCGCCAUUGGAGGGGUCCGCGUCCGAUUAGCUAGUUGGUAGGGUAAUGGCCUACCAAGGCGACGANCGGUAGCCGGCCUGAGAGGGUGAUCGGCCACACUGGAACUGAGACACGGUCCAGACUCCUACGGGAGGCAGCAGUGGGGAAUUUUGCGCAAUGGGCUAACGCCUGACGCAGCAACGCCGCGUGGAGGAUGAAGGUCUUUGGAUUGUAAACUCCUGUCAGCAGGGAAAAGCGACUUAGCCUAAUACGCUAGGGAGUUGAUUGUACCUGCAGAGGAAGCCCGGC
rnacentral:rRNA from 1 species